AAUUAAUUAUUAAUACAAAAUAAGGUCACUAACUAUAAGUAUGAAGUUCUAACGAUCCUUUAUAUGUUAAUGUUUAUAUUUUUAUAUCAUUUUAGUAUCCUGCCUGUCUCUCUUAAGGCUAUCAUCAUAUAACUUUUCACGGGACAUCUUGCUAAUCGGAUAGUUCCUCUAUAUCAUGUAGCUGCCAUAUUAUAAUGAUUGGUCUACAAAUGACCGCACCCAAGCAACGAAAACUAUAUCCAAACAACCUGUGGAUUACUUGAGUCAAGCUCACAUAGUUCGGAUUGUAUUCAACGAGUCAUCGACUAAACUUUUAAUCUGCAUCAGCUCUCUUUUAACCAAACACGAGCAGAUGUUCAAAUUUACGAUUGGACACUUGGCUUCUUUGGCCACACACAGACACGUACACACAUGCACACACACUUUGGCGUUGUGUGAUCUAUAUGGAAUAUUGGAAUAUAUGGAGUUGGGAUCGCGCACGAG